AUGUCGUCGUCGGCCAUGGAAGCGCUCCACGCCCUGAUCCCGGAGCAGCACCAGCUGGACGUUGAGGCGGCUGCGGCUGUCAGCAGCGCCACCAGCGGCGAGGAGAGCGGCCACGUGCUGCAGGGGUGGGCCAAGAGGAAGCGAUCGCGCCGCCAGCGCUCCGAGGAGGAGAACCUCGCGCUCUGCCUCCUCAUGCUCUCGCGCGGCGGCAAGCAGCGUGUUCAGGCGCCGCAGCCGGAGUCGUUCGCUGCGCCGGUGCCUGCCGAGUUCAAGUGCUCCGUCUGCGGCAAGUCCUUCAGCUCCUACCAGGCGCUCGGAGGCCACAAGACGAGCCACCGGGUGAAGCAGCCGUCUCCUCCCUCUGAUGCCGCUGCUGCCCCACUCGUGGCCCUCCCGGCCGUCGCCGCCAUCCUGCCGUCCGCCGAGCCGGCCACGUCGUCCACCGCCGCGUCCUCCGACGGCGCGACCAACAGAGUCCACAGGUGCUCCAUCUGCCAAAAGGAGUUCCCGACUGGGCAGGCGCUCGGCGGGCACAAGAGGAAGCACUACGACGGAGGCGUGGGCGCCGCCGCCUCGUCGACCGAGCUUCUGGCCGCCGCGGCCGCCGAGUCUGAGGUGGGGAGCACCGGCAACGGGAGCUCCGCCGCCCGGGCCUUCGACCUGAACAUUCCGGCCGUGCCGGAGUUCGUGUGGAGGCCGUGCGCCAAGGGCAAGAUGAUGUGGGAGGACGAUGAGGAGGUGCAGAGCCCCCUCGCCUUCAAGAAGCCUCGGCUUCUCACCGCUUGA
rnacentral:rRNA from 1 species